rnacentral:rRNA from 1 species
ACGGGAGGCAGCAGUGGGGAAUAUUGCACAAUGGGCGCAAGCCUGAUGCAGCGAUGCCGCGUGAGGGAAGAAGGUUUUCGGAUUGUAAACCUCUGUCAACAGGGACGAAAAUGACGGUACUUGACUAAGAAGCUCCGGCUAAAUACGUGCCAGCAGCCGCGGUAAUACGUAUGGAGCAAGCGUUAUCCGGAUUUACUGGGUGUAAAGGGAGCGUAGACGGCAAAGCAAGUCUGAAGUGAAAUGCCGGGGCUUAACCCCGGAACUGCUUUGGAAACUGUUUAGCUAGAGUGCAGGAGAGGUAAGCGGAAUUCCUAGUGUAGCGGUGAAAUGCGUAGAUAUUAGGAGGAACACCAGUGGCGAAGGCGGCUUACUGGACUGUAACUGACGUUGAGGCUCGAAAGCGUGGGGAGCAAACAGGAUUAGAUACCCUGGUA